UAGCGUUGCUCGGAAUGACUGGGCGUAAAGGGCGCGUAGGCGGUUUGGACAGUCAGAUGUGAAAUCCCGGGCUUAACCUGGGAACUGCAUUUGAUACGUGUAGACUAGAGUGUGAGAGAGGGUUGUGGAAUUCCCAGUGUAGAGGUGAAAUUCGUAGAUAUUGGGAAGAACACCGGUGGCGAAGGCGGCAACCUGGCUCAUGACUGACGCUGAGGCGCGAAAGCGUGGGGAGC
rnacentral:rRNA from 1 species